rnacentral:rRNA from 1 species
UCUAUUUUUUAUAGAGUAGUCUUUACGAUCUUUGACAUAUUGCAACAAUGAAUAAACUGUAAGUAUGAACUGUUUGGUAGAUGCAAAUAAUCUUUGAUCCGAAGAUUUCCGAAUGGGACAACCUAGCGUGUUGAAGACACGUUACUCUUGCAAUGUAAGAGAGCUAACGCAGGGAACUGAAACAUCUUAGUACCUGUAGGAAGAGAAAAUAAUUUAAUGAUUUCCCUAGUAGUGGCGAGCGAACGGGAAACAGCCCAAACCUAUGACGUAGCAAUGCGCCAUAGGGGUUGUAGGACCACGACAUUGUAUUAAGUCAAUCGAGAAGAAUAUUCUGGAAAGAAUAACCAUAGAGGGUGAUAGUCCUGUACUCGAAGUGCGACUUAGCAUAGUGGUAUCCUGAGUACCGCGGAACACGUGUAAUUCUGCGCGAAUCAGCCGGGCCCAUCCGGUAAGGCUAAAUACUCCCAUGAGACCGAUAGUGAACGAGUACUGUGAAGGAAAGGUGAAAAGCACUCCGCGAGGAGAGUGAAAUAGUUCCUGAAACCAUGCGCCUACAAGCGGUCGGAGCAAAGUAAUUUGUGACGGCGUGCCUUUUGCAUAAUGAACCUACGAGUUACCAUGUCUGGCAAGGAUAAGUGAUUCAGUCACGCAUCCAUAGUGAAAGCGAGCCUGAACAGGGCGUUAUAGUCAGAUGGGGUAGACGCGAAACCAAGUGAUCUACACUUACCCAGGUUGAAGUUCGGGUAACACCGAAUGGAGGACCGCACCAAUAAGCGUUGAAAAGCUUCUGGAUGAGGUGAGUGUAGGAGUGAAAGGCCAAUCAAACUUGGAGAUAGCUCGUACUCCCCGAAAGGCAUUUAGGUGCAUCUAAGGUCCCGAAAUUCUGUCUAAGUUAGUCUAACGAAGUGUGGUCCCCGUGACAGCUAGGAUGUUGGCUUGGAAGCAGCCAUUCAUUCAAAGAGUGCGUAACAGCUCACUAGUCGAGGGUCCGUGCAUGGAUAAUAAUCGGGUAUUAAGUCAGAUACCGAAGGUGCGGGAUAGUAUUGUAUAUAAAAAGUAUCGGUAGGGGAGCAUUCCAUCGGCGCAGAAUAUAGACCGUAAGGUUUGUUGGAGCUUAUGGAAAAGCAAAUGUAGGUAUAAGUAACGAUAAAAAGGGUUAGAUUCCCUUUCGCCGAAAGACCGAGGUUUCCCGGGCGAUGCCAAUCAGCCCGGGGUUAGUCGAGUCCUAAGUCUCAUCCGAACGGAGCAGGCGAUGGCAGAUGAGGUUAAUAUUCCUCAACUUGCUUAUAUAGUGAAGUGGAGACGGAGCAGUGACACUGUCGCGUCCUGACGGACAUGGACGUUUAAUAUUUUAGGCAUUGAUAGGUGCAGGCAAAUCCACACCUUGAGCUGAGAAUAGAAAGUACAAUCUUCUCUUCGGAGAGGGUUGAUAGUACAGGUAAUCAUACUCCCGAGAAAAUCCGCUAGCGUUAAUAUUUAAGCAACUCGUACCGCAAACGGACACACGUGGUCGGGUAGAAUAUACUAAGGCGUUGAGAGAUUCAUGGUUAAGGAACUAGGCAAAUUGACCCUGUAACUUCGGGAUAAAGGGUCCUCGUAUUUAGCUAUACGAGGCGCAGAGAAUAGGUCCAGGCAACUGUUUAACAAAAACACAGGGCUGUGCUAACUCGAAAGAUGAUGUAUACAGCCUGACACCUGCCCGGUGCUGGAAGGUUAAGAGGAGAGCUUAGAUGUAAAUCGACGGUUUGAAUUGAAGCCCCAGUAAACGGCGGCCGUAACUAUAACGGUCCUAAGGUAGCGAAAUUCCUUGUCGGGUAAGUUCCGACCUGCACGAAUGGUGUAAU